ensembl:lncRNA
UCCUUUGGCAGUGCAGAGCCCUCAACCCUGAGUUCAUUCCCCUCAAAGUCAGAUUAUUUGACUUAAUUUGUGAUGGCGGUCAUGUAUAAGGGGAGGCGUGCCUGUGCUCUGUACGUUUCUCUGUCCCUCCUUGGCUUUCUGCAGAGCAGCUGAGACAAACUGCCCAUUUUGAUCCAGCUUCUAGUUUCCUCUGCUCUGCAUGAGUGAUGGUGUUGGAGUUCAGGUUUGGGCUCAUCUGCAAAUAAGGGUGACUCAUGUGACUUAUGGGUCUCUGGAAAAAUAUUUUUUUCAGUUUUCUAAAACUGGCUGCUUUUCUGUCUGGAAAAAAGAAAAAAAAUCUUUCUUUUGGGUGAGUGAGUCCAAGAGUUCUGCUCUUGCAUCUAUGCUAUGACAUUUCAAAUCCUGGGCAAGUGAAGGUGUAUUGCAUGGGUUUAAAAACUGAAGUGCUUUCUGGGCUUGUGUUUUUCUUCUUUAUUCUCUCUUAAUGUGAAGAAUAAAAAUCACCUCAGGUAAACACUGUAGUCAAUUGCAAGUCUCAGCUUGAAACUGUUUUUUAUUUGUUGAUCUCAUAUUUAUUAGCACAACUUUGAACUUAAAAUCUGGAUGUCUGAUUCCUGCAGUCAGCAGGGAAAUCUUUGAAUAUUUAAGCUGGGGCAGGGAGCUGUCAGAGAUCAGUGUCCCAGAAGCAGCUUGUGCAGUAAUAGUGAUCCUAGAGAUAUCUGCUUUAUAUACAGAAAUCUUGACAUGUGCCCUCUCUGCAAUAGGCUUUUUACAAACAGGCUCUACAAAUGCUUGAAAUGAAAAUUCAGAUAUUGCCAAAUGGCAGGGCUCACUUGGUGACACGACAGGCCCCUGCGUGCUUCUUCUUCCACUUACCACAGAGGGUAGAAACACAAGCAAAAGGUUGUCUCCUGUCUCCAGGAAAUUUCCAAAGGCCAGAACCAGUGCUAUGUGUCUUUGGAAGAGCUUUGACAUCAUUCCUGUGCUAUAUACAGGUGGUUAAUUGUUCACCAUGUGCUGCAUAUCUGUUUCAGUAUGGCACUGAUGAGCAGAGCCCAGGGCACUGUUCUUCCCUGCCUAAAGACUGCAGCAUGGGAAGCUCGCCCAGCACACUUGUGUCCCAGUGAAGAGAGCGAGGCCACUGCUGCAGUGUGGGCAAAGCUUGGUAGGCAGCUUUGAAAGAGAAAUUUUUCCGUUGGCUGACUGUGAGCUGAGGGUGGGAGUGUUUGCUCCUAUUCCCUAGUCAAAAGCAGGAUGUGAGGCUGCCCACAGGGUUCUCCAGCUUGCGGACUUCUCUGGGGUGGCAGGGAAGCAGCAACGUGCCUGGAAGUUGGAGACAAAAGUAUCGUUAUUAAAAUGCUCUGAAUUGUGUUAGGCUGAUGCCCUGUUGCUCUUUGGAGCAGGUAUGAUGCCUCUUAUCUGUGUCAGUUGCUCUUUGGAGCCGGUGUGUUGUCUCUUGUCUUCGUGCUGCCAACUUUCGUGACCUGUGUAGUUGCUCUGAGCCCACUGGAGCCAGUUUGGCAGUGGAGAGGCCCUAUAUUGUAAUGCUGGCUCAGGUUGCCUGAGCUGAGCCCUCCUGGCUGCUCCCUACCUCUGUGCUCAACCGUGAAAAAUGAGCCCUGGGGAGAUGAGAUCAAGGCGUCCUUUUUCCUUGUAGCAAAGGGUUUCUAAAUGCUCUGUAAACAUCACUGAGCUGCACGUCACCUGCCUGGUGAGACAGCAAGUAGGAGACUCCACUGGGAUGCUUUGCUCGGAACAGGUGGUGUGUGUAGGCAAAGAACAAGUUGGUGAGGAAAGAUGUCAAUUGUUUAAUUCCCACAUCUUGUUUAGCCAGAAAGCAGGCAGAGCUUUACCUGCUCCUCUGAAUUGCCAAACUGGCGCAUUUAGCCGUGCUUGUAUUUGCCACCAAGUAAGACCAUCUUGCUGUAUGUUCUUCAGACCCUGGAACACCUAGUCAACUGCACACUCUGCUCUUCUUGCUUUGUGUUGCCUUUGGCUCCUGGGUGUCUGAAUCCUGCAGAGCAGGUGCUGGCUGAUGUUCACCGUGUGCUCAUGAAUGAUUUUAUUCUCGUCCCUUCAUCACAUUUCCUCUGUGUGCAGCUUUCAGAGGAUGCUGUUUUCCUCACA